rnacentral:lncRNA from 1 species
AUGGGGGCCACCACACCUGAGACACCUUGUUCUUUGAGCCAAGACACACACCUGCUAUCACUGGAAAGGGAUCUAGAAGGAGGAUUCUUGGACAGCGUGGGGCACCUGGAUCCUACCAAAGCAUAUCAGAACCACAAAGGUUGGAGGAGGAUUAAAAUGAUACAAGUUUCCCCACAUCCCAUUGUCAUCCCAGCCCUGACCCUUUGUGAGACUAUCAGCUGGAUGAGCAACUGCUACUUAUACACCUUUGCUCUCAACAUGUAGGGCUGGGAACAACAUAGAGACCCACAGUCAAGGUGAAAGGUAGGGAACACAAGCAAAAAGGGCUGGAUGGGAAGAGACAGGGAAUGGAGAGAAUUUAGCAUGUAUUUCCCCCAGUUUCCUUGGCCAAGUACCUACCAUUCCCUUUUAUAACUGAGUUAAUUGCCUUUUGACUUCUUCACAAAUCUAUUUGUGCAAUCCAGAAUCACAUUGGAUUUCUUUUAUUGCUCUAGAUCCUGGUGCCAAAGGCACUAAAAUUUUAUCUGCCUCUGCAUUGGGAUUCCUCCUCUCAAGUCUCCUGCCUAUGACCGUGGAAGAUCUGUUUUACCUCUGAAUUUCUUGUCCUGGUCUCAUUACCUUAUAUGUCACUACACUGAAUUGGAUAAUCAAAUUAUUUGCCUCCUCUGGUCAAACACUUAGAGUUUUAUUGCCCUUACUGACCAUCUUUGUUCCUGUCUCCUACAUCUCUGAGCUCGUCAGCUCCUGCAGGGGCUACUCUCAUUCUGUGCGGGGGAACGGGGGUCCCCUGAGACAAGUUCGCAAGCUCAGUUCUUAUACCUUCUUCCCCGUGGGCCAAACACUCACCCCUGCCCUAGAGCCCAAGUUCACUGACAUGGCCACUUCUCCGCAGCCUCAUCCAGAAGCAGAUUCCCCCAAGCUUUUGCAGACAUUACCCUAUAAAACGAGAUGAAAUGGGUUCCUAGAAUAUCUCUCCCCAGAUAACCCAUACCACUAACACCAGGCUUUAUGGGAACUUUUUAACACUCUGCAAAAUCAAAUAAACCCAAGAACUCUGGGGCCA